rnacentral:sRNA from 1 species
ACAAUAAUCAAACGAUCUUGUUAAAGAUACAUAUCAUUAACUCAUAGCGGAAGAAAGGUUAGCACCUUUUUUUCCAACCCUCAUAUGCGUUGUAUACUUGUAUUAUUAGUAAGUUGUCCCGUUAUUAGAUCAAAGAACAUAUCCGAGUAUUUGUCUCCACAAUUUAACAAUGGUAAAAUCACAUUCGCGAAAGUAAUUCAAGAUAUACUAUGUAGUACGUACUCAACUCUUCAAAAUUUAGUGGAAUUUUAGCAUUGUUUUUCAGAAUCAACUACGGAUUUACCAUUUUUUUUAGAUGGCAUUGGUGGAUUUUGACUUUUAUUAAUAGUUUGUGAAUUUUGUCUUUUUUUCAA